GGAUGUGAGGGCAAUCUGCCUGUGACAUCUGUCACCCUGUUGAUUGCCAGGGUUGAUUUGGCUGAUCUGGCUGGCUAGGCGGGUGUCCCCUUCCACCCUCACCGCUCCAUGUGUGUCCCUCCCGAAGCCGUGUGCUUGGUUGAAGAGGACGACCAUCCCUGAUAGAGGAGGACUGGUUUCGGUCAAGGGUAUAUGAGUAGCUGUGUUCCCCUGCUAGAACCUCCAAACAAGCUCUCGAGAAAAUGAGAUGAUGAGCCACAGGAUGGGAGAAAAUAUUUGGACCAAAAAACAAACAAACAAACAAAACACAUGGUAAAGGACUGU
rnacentral:snRNA from 1 species